rnacentral:rRNA from 1 species
GACGGGGGGUCCUAGCGUUGUUCGGAAUCAUUGGGCGUAAAGCGUGUGCAGGCGGUUUGGAAAGUUGGAUGUGAAAGCCCCGGGCUUAACCCGGGAAGUGCAUUCAAAACUCCCAAACUUGAGUAAGGAAGAGGGUCGUGGAAUUCCAGGUGUAGUGGUGAAAUACGUAGAUAUCUGGAGGAACACCGGCGGCGAAGGCGACAUCCUGGACCAACACUGACGCUGAGGAGCGAAAGCCAGGGGAGCAAACGGG